rnacentral:rRNA from 1 species
UAGGGAAUCUUCGGCAAUGGACGGAAGUCUGACCGGGCAACGCCGCGUGAGUGAAGAAGGUUUUCGGAUCGUAAAGCUCUGUUGUAAGAGAAGAACGAGUGUGAGAGUGGAAAGUUCACACUGUGACGGGUUCUUAACCAGAAAGGGACGGCUAACUACGUGCCAGCAGCCGCGGUAAUACGUAGGUCCCGAGCGUUGUCCGGAUUUAUUGGGCGUAAACGUAAAGCGAGCGCAGGCGGUUAGAUAAGUCUGAAGUUAAAGGCUGUGGCUUAACCAUAGUACGCUUUGGAAACUGUUUAACUUGAGUGCAAGAGGGGAGAGUGGAAUUCCAUGUGUAGCGGUGAAAUGCGUAGAUAUAUGGAGGAACACCGGUGGCGAAAGCGGCUCUCUGGCUUGUAACUGACGCUGAGGCUCGAAAGCGUGGGGAGCAAACAGGAUUAGAUACCCUGGNACUGGACGCCACGCCCGAUGAGUGCUAGGUGUUAGACCCUUUCCGGGGUUUAGUGCCGCAGCUAACGCAUUAAGCACUCCGCCUGGGGAGUACGACCGCAAGGUU